rnacentral:rRNA from 1 species
AAAUUCCUGGUGUAGCGGUGAAAUGCGCAGAUAUCAGGAGGAACACCGAUGGCGAAGGCAGGUCUCUGGGCAUUAACUGACGCUGAGGAGCGAAAGCAUGGGGAGCGAACAGGAUUAGAUACCCUGGUAGUCCAUGCCGUAAACGUUGGGCACUAGGUGUGGGGGACAUUCCACGUUUUCCGCGCCGUAGCUAACGCAUUAAGUGCCCCGCCUGGGGAGUACGGCCGCAAGGCUAAAACUCAAAGGAAUUGACGGGGGCCCGCACAAGCGGCGGAGCAUGCGGAUUAAUUCGAUGCAACGCGAAGAACCUUACCAAGGCUUGACAUGAACCGGAAAGACCUGGAAACAGGUCCCCCGCUUGCGGUCGGUUUACAGGUGGUGCAUGGUUGUCGUCAGCUCGUGUCGUGAGAUGUUGGGUUAAGUCCCGCAACGAGCGCAACCCUCGUUCUAUGUUGCCAGCGCGUGAUGGCGGGGACUCAUAGGAGACUGCCGGGGUCAACUCGGAGGAAGGUGGGGACGACGUCAAAUCAUCAUGCCCCUUAUGUCUUGGGCUUCACGCAUGCUACAAUGGCCGGUACAAAGGGUUGCGAUACUGUGAGGUGAGCUAAUCCCAAAAGCCGGUCUCAGGUCGGAUUGGUCUGCACUCGACCCAUGAAGUCGGAGUCGCUAGUAUCGAGAUCAGCAACGCUGCGGUGAUUACGUCCCGG